GUGCUGUCAGAAUUUAUGUUAUUUUUGCGUUUAAGUUGAUUAUUACAAUAUUACUUUCUUCAAACCAUUCUCAAAGGAAAUGCUGAUUCUUGCUCAAAGGUGACCUGCAAAUUCAUGAAGAUUUCAUAUGAUAACAGUAAAUAGUUAUGUCCAACAUUGGGCAAGGCUCUUUGCAAAAUAGUCCUAUUCAAUCAUUUGCUUGGCAUGCUAUCUCCAAUUGCUUCGAAACAGUUGAACUCGUAGCGUCACAACUUUCAAGUGCUCAAAAUAAAAGGGUUAGAUCUCGAUUUGGUCCCUUCGAACUUUCAUGGUUUGUUCAUUGUGGUCCAUGAAGUUAAGCUUUACUUGAAUCAAGUCCCCAAACUUGCACAUGUAUUUGAUGUUAACCUUUAGUUUGCUGCAAUAUCAACACAAUGUUAUAUCAGUUUAACUUAACAAAAUGUUUAGAUAAUUAUAUAUUGGUAAAAUUGUAUACUGUUUAUAGACAGCAUUUAGUUAUAUUCUCAUUAAAAUGACAUUUUAUGGUACUAAGUUUGGUAGAGUAAUAAUAUUAUCGAAAAAACAAUCAACUAUUAAUUCCGAGAGUUGAUGUUAUAAUCUCAAAAGUCAAAACUAUAACUUACAUGAGACAACCUCAAUACACAGGCCUGAAAUUCAUAUUCAGGAUCAUAUUUGUAGUAUGAAAUAUCAUCCCUUAUUUACAGUAACAGUAAUUACAGAAACAUUGGGAAUUUAACAUACAUUUUAAUUAUUAAAACACAUUAUAGCCAACUGUGACGCCCCAGCUUUCCAAGGGUUCACGCAUCCUAGGACUACUCCCAUCCUAGCACGCUUAACUCUCUUAACCUCUUGGGCCUUGCCACCACCCAAAAUGCUUAAGCCGGGUUAAGAUGACACCCCAAUAAUCCCCACAUCGGAUGGGAAUGGGGUUGUCAUUGGGUUUAUAAGAGACUUAGACACUAGUAAUAAUAACUGGGCUUAAGCAUUUUGGGCCGGUGAUUAACGAGUUAUUGUUGCUAGUGGGCUGGGGUCAGCCCACUAGCAACAAUAACUCGUUGGGCCCAAUCACUGGCCCAAAAUGCUUAAGCUCAGUUAUUAUUACUAGUGUCUAAGUCUCUUAUAAACCCAAUGAUAACCCCAAUCCCAUCCGAUGUGGGGAUUAUUGGGGUGUCACACCAGCUUAUUCGAACUAUAUUUAUUACCACUUUAUAAGCAUCAUGGUGAAUUGAUAAGACAUGAUAGUUUUUUUUUUUUUUUUUUUUUUUUUUUUUUUUUUUUUACAUUUUGAUUAAGUAUAUGAAUGAAUUUAUUAUUAGUGUUGGCAUUCGGUUAAAUCGAAUCGGGUACGCCCAUAAGCGGGUUCGAUCCGAUGGAUAUUAUGUUAUCUAAUUGGAUUGGAAUUAAUCUCGCUUUCAAAUUGGAAAGCUAGUUAGAGAUAAAUCCUAAUUAUAUUAGGAUAACAAUUAAUAACCGAUUUGGCCUUAUCUCUAACGCUAUUAGGAUUUUGGAAUUUCUUAUAAAUAUGCGGGCGAUCCCACAUAACAAAAGGUACAAGAAAAGAAAAAGAAAAGAGAAUAAGAAAACGAAAGAGAGAAACCACAUCCUCCAUUAACCUAUUAUUCUAAGAGGGACUUGAACGGUGGAUUUGUGAUCGUGCUCGUUUGUAGUUCGAUCCAUCGCGAGUUUGGAACGUGAGAAGAUUUAAUCAAGGACGAUCAAAGGACACGUGAAUCAACCUCGACGAUCCGGGCUCAUUGAGUUGUAACGCGAAUCGCUUUCGAAAAAGGUACGAACUAAUACUUCCGGCCGCAACGCAAAAUUUGCCCUGUCUCCUUUUGGACAGACGCAUUUGUUAAGGUCUGCCCCUACAUCUAAUCGUUACUCCCCAAAAAUAGUAAUCUUCCACUCGUUAUAAUUAUGGACAGCAGGAAACCAAAUUUGGACAACCUGCGCCCUUGGGUUCGGCAGCUUAGUACACAACACUUCUCAUAAUCAUGGAAAGUGGUCCGUAAAAAAGGAAGUGUAUCUUAUAAGAUACCUCUGAACACAUCUAAGGAUAUGUGUUCAACGAAAGCAGCCAGAUGAAUUUGACGAGAUUAGUCACGAGAUGUUAAAUUCCUCGAGAGAUUUUCCUUAAGAAGUAGGUUCGAAUGAAAUUGUGUUCCAAUGAGAUGAGAUGGCUCGACAUUGGCGCUUCUAUUCGUCAUCGAGGGAGAGGAGGCCACUCCGAUACCUCCUGGGAAAUAGUGGAUCCGAACUUCCUUUAAUAAGGAGCCUCAACUUCGUAAUUGACGGCCACUGCUUCCCACGUGUCGUUUUGUAGAAUUGAGGUGAUGCUUUCAAUGGUUCUGCACAUACGAUGAUGAGCCCUGAGAUCUUUCAAAUAGGCUGCUCUCAUAUACUACUAUAACAAAAUGGUGUUGGAUAAAUGAUAAGGAAAUAGAAUGCGAUGAACGUCAAAAUCAUGUAUGAGUACUUGGUUGACAUGCCACCAAGGGCGCAAACAAUCGUGAAUAAAUGGGUUCUCAGAUAGCGGCAAGAGAUGUUCUAUUGAUAGUACAGCAGGCUCGCUGGUAACAAAAGGUUUUUACCCAACAGAAUGGCGUUAUUACGAGAAACCUUCUCUCACUGUCGUGAGGCUUUGCUUGAUCCCGCCUAAUCUUGGGCCAUGUCGCUAUUUGGCAUUUGGAACUUUACAAAUGACGUAAACUUGCAUUCUCAAUAGACUGGAUAAGGAAAUCAUAUAUGGAUCAGCCUGCUGGCUUCUCUGUAAAGGUAGUGAGGCAUAUAAAGUUUGUAAUCUCCUGACGAUCCAUUUAUGGAUUGAAGCAGUCCCUAACAGUGUAUGAUUCGAUUUCACGAACCAAUCACUGAAGAUGUGUACGAUGAUUAAAGAAAUCACUGUGUGUAUGUUAAACUGUCCAAAAGGAAAUUUUUUAAUCCUUUUCUUACACAUAUGUUGAUUUGGACAUCCUAUUUGCCGUAAUUAAGAGAUGAUUGUCGCCACUCUAACGUGGCUGUCCUCUAAUUUUGAGAUGAAAGGACCAUGGUGAAGUCGAAUAAUAUGCUCGGAGUUAGAUCCUACUAGAUCGUUCAAAAAAACUUUUUAGUCUUCUCAAGAGACUUACUAAGAAAAAUUUAGAACGAUUUCAGAUGUACAAUUCAAUCUCCAUUACACUGCCUAUUGUUAAGGUGAGAGUUUGACCCUAAACAGUGCCCAAAACUUCUGAAGAGAAGUAUAAAUAACCUGUAUCCUAUGUGCAAAUGCGUCAGAAAGCCUGAUUAUGCAAUAUUGUACCGCUAUAUAUCUAUCCGUGGCCUGUUAGCCAUUUUCCAGUCCAAUCCGGGAUUGACCAAUGUAAGGCGUUAAAAGAAUACUCUUACCUUAAGAGGUACGAUAAUUAAUUGUGCUGUGGCUAUCAAGGUACGGAUUACGUCUUAUCGUUAUAGGCGAUACUGUUAUGGCGCUGUGACCUAAGAUGAACGUAAGUUGACCUCAGGAUAUGUAUCUUACUCUCGCAAUGGCGCCAUCAACUUGAGUAGUAAAAACCAACUCGCAUAGCCUUUUCCACCAUGGAGGCGGACGUUCGUGGCGUGUUCCUGCACAGGCCCAGGAGCUUAUUCUGUUGAGAAGGUUCCUUCGAGAUAUUGGAAUUGUCGCUUGUACUCCCGUUUCUGUACGAUUCUAUUGUGAACGUAUGGCAGCAUUGCAUAACACGACACGGACCCGAAAUAUCAAUGGCAAGAAUAGCACAAUCGACUUAAAGUAUCAACUUUGAUUCGUUGGGAGCAAGGGCGCAGAAGGAAUAUAAUCUUGGCACACAUCUCUACGAGUCGCAUCGGUGGCUAGAUCCUUUUUACUUAUUAGCCUAUUGUUAUGAUUGAAUCUUUUUGCUCAUGUUUAAAGCUUUUGGAUUCAAUAAGAUUUGAUUGUGUAGACAUUCGAUUAUUUUGUAAUUUAUUGUUAUAUUAAUUACAACUUAUUUUUUGGCAACCGAAUAUUUGCAAAUUAGUACACGUGCUAUUGUUAUUAAAUCUGAUUGAUAGUAUUCCACAUGUAGCUGAUGCCCUCCGCACGGCAAUAAUAUUCUUUUCGCGCUGUAGAAGCGAGCGAAAAUUGAGCAUCUAAUGAAGCGCCUUGUUGACCAAGAUGAGAGUAUUAAUAGACCGUAAUACGAAUAUCCCACGAUUCGUAUGCCUGAUAUUAAGAGCGCGACUGUGAGAUCACCGUUGACGCUUGAGAUAGUGACAAAUAAGACUCAGGCUGAGACACUCCGGAGUGUCUGACAAGACCUAUACAUUAGAACAUACGUAUGCUAUGGGACUCUCCUGUCAUAAGCAGUGUAUUUCAUACUACAUUUUGCGGGGCGAUAAAUAGAGAAAUGAUGAAUGGAUCCUCGCUCAUCAUUCGGUAGUUCUACGGCAUUGUUUUAGACAUGUCUUAUAUAUGUUAUAUGCCCUUAAGUGAUUUACUAUGUCAUUAAGUGAAAAAUUAUAUUGCUACUUUGGCUUCUCCUACGCUAUGAAGUGAUGCGCUUUACGGGCAUUGGGGAAAGAUAGUUAUGCACUCAGGCAAUAGGCCUCAAAAACUAGUUGAAUUAACAUUCAGACACAUUGAUCAUUGUCGAUAAUUGUGUCGCUCAGUAUAACGAACAAUCAUGAGUAUAAAGUGUCAUAAUGUGCGCAAUUGCGUUACGCAUGGCUGUUGAGAUCUAGAGAUGCUAACCUAUUAAUUCAAUGGUCUAGCGGCAUCAGGUCUAAUAUUUUUUCCUUUUUGAGUUGAUGUCUCUACCUGGCCGAUUGCCGGUUUCAGUAUAGAAGCCCAAAAUGCAGGUUGACUCGGCAGGUCGCACUGUUCAUUUUCCUGGUAAUAAAUUAAUCGUUUGGAUGUUGAGGAAGUGUACGAUGGCAUCGAUCCCGUUAUGUGCGAGUGGGAGACCGCGUAGGCCGCGCAGAGGCCGGGCCACCAGCGGGGCCGCAGCCCGCAGGGGCCAGCAGGAUUUUUUUUUUCUUCAUUUUUUUUUCUGCAUUUUUUUCUUUUAAAUAAUUUUUUUUAAAAGCGCAUUCGAUGAUUAAUAUGUUAUGCAUAAUCAAUGAUUCAAUAUACUUUUGUGACAUAUUAGCAUAUUAUAAUGCUUUUCUAUGAUAUGUGGAUAAAAUCGUUAGGCAUAAUAUUUUUAUGCAUGCCUUGUUAGUGGGAUUUUUAAUUUUGGUAGAGUAAAUUUAUAUGCUUUUACUCUCAAAUAUUUUGUGCAUCUUAAUUAAAUAAUUAAAAAUUUUUUUGACAUAUGGUGUGUGAUGUGAUUAUGAGCAUAGCGAAAUUUUUCUUUACGCAUCUAUGGUCUAAUUUUUAAUUUAUUUAAUUAGAGAUGCGGCAAAAUUGAAUAUAUGUAUCGUGUACUAAUUUUAAAAUAUUCUUUUCUGCGCAUUGCAUGAACAAAGUGAGAUUUAACGGCUUCCAAACAAAUUGUUGCGGAUUUAAACAAGGGCGAGAAAUUGGAUGGUGACAAUUAUGAUAUUUGGCACCGUAAAAUUCAAUAUGUUCUCGCUGAGCAAGAGGUUCUGGAAAACUUGAGUAAUAAAAUGGACCUACCCACAGAGGGCACUAGUGCCCAGGCUCGCUGAGAUAUGGAAGCCUAUAAUAAUUGGCUAAAAAAGGAUUGCAUUGCUCGCAUCACGUUGCUGAAUAGUAUGCAGAAUGAUCUCUUGUGCGGGUGUGAGCAGUAUCCGACUGCGUAUGACAUGUGGGAGGCUCUCAAAGCAAAAUUUGGUGUAACUUCGGCCACAAGGUUGCGCAGUCUGACUAUGCGGUUUGACAGUUAUAAAAAGCGUGCCGAUCAGACUAUGAAACAGCACGUUAGAACAAUAUCAAACAUGAUUCGCGAGUUAAAGUCGGCUGGCUGCACCUUGACUGAUGAGCAGCAGAUCCAAGCUAUGAUUCGCUCUCUUCCCAAUUCGUGAGAACAUAUGCGAGUAAAUUUGACCCAUAAUGACAAUAUCAAAACUUUUGAGGAUGUUGCGCGGCAUUUGGAGUUGGAGGAGGAGCACCUAAGGCUGUUAAAACUCCAACUGCCAAUGCUACUGAGUCAAACUUUCGUAGGACAUCUGGGUUCAAGUGAAAGAGGACUACUGGGGCUCAAAAUCGUAGCGGAUCCGCGCCUAAGAAUGCGAAGAACACUAAAAGAAAGAGAAGCAAACGAGGUGGCAAGAAGAACAAGUCAAAGAUGACUUGUUUCAACUGUAAUCAGCUGCGACACUUCGCUCGUGAUUGCACUGAGCCGAAGAAGGUACAUCUCUAUCCCGAUUCUCGCUUUUUUGUUUCUUCUAACACGUUUGUUGCUGAAUCACUCUCUGUGUGGAUUGUAGACUCAGGAGCAACAGACCACGUAGCGAGGGAUCGGAGGGGAUUCGUCGAGUACCGUCGUGUGCCUGCUGGGAGCAGAAGAGUAUAUACAUAGGGAACGAUUCAAGUGUCGAUGUGUUAGGCGUUGGCACAUACAAGUUGAUCAUGCAAGGUGGUCGAACUUUAUAUCUACAUGAUGUACUUUAUGCUCCAGGAAUUCGGCGAAACUUGUUUUCUAUUCUUGCUAUGCUACAGUUAGGCUUUUCUUUUCGUUUUGAGAGUGAUGUAGUUAAGAUUCAUCUUGGAACUAUUUAUUAUGGGAGUGGUUUUAUGUCAAAUGGUUUUAUGGUUUUGGACAUUGAUUAUAAUAUUAAUAAUAGUGAUUCUUUUUCCCUGCUAUCUUCUGUUGAGAAUGAUCACAAUAUUUCAAUUAAAUGGCAUGCACGUCUUGGUCAUAUUGGGCAGGAUAGAAUGACUAGAUUAGUUAGAGACGGGUUAUUGAGCUCGCUCACUAAAGUCGACCUACCCACUUGUGAACAUUGUUUAGCGGGAAAAGCGACCCGAAAACCAUUUAAUAAAGCUUCAAGGGCAGAAUUUCCUUUACAAUUAAUCCAUUCCGACAUUUGUGGCCCAAUGAGUGUGAGGGCAAGACAUGGUGCUUUUUACUUCAUCACAUUUAUAGAUGACCAUACGCGCUUCGGUCAUGUUUAUCUGAUCUCCCAUAAGUCUGAAGCAUUGGAUUGUUUUAGACGUUAUAUUAAUGAGGUUGAGAAUCAGUUAGAUAUGAAAAUUAAAUGCUUAAGAACUGAUCGAGGCCGCGAGUAUCUAUCUGAACAAUUUAAGGAAUUGUGUGAUGAAAAGGGAAUAAUCAGACAGCUGACAAUUCCUGGCACUCCGCAGCAAAAUGGUGUAGCGGAGAGAAGAAAUCGCACCUUGCUUGACAUGGUUAGGUCAAUGAUGGCGCAAGCAAAUUUGCCUGUCUCCUUUUGGGGAGACGCAUUGUUAACUGCUGCCUACAUUCUUAAUCGUGUACCCUCCAAAACAGUACCUUCCACCCCUUAUGAAUUAUGGACAGGCAGGAAACCAAAUUUGGAGCUCCUGCGUCCUUGGGGUUCGGCAGCUUAUGUACACAAUACUUCUCACAAGGAUGGAAAGUUGGGUCCUAGAGGGAGAAAGUGUAUCUUUAUAAGAUACUCUGAACACUCUAAGGGAUACGUGUUCAUCGGAAAGCAGCCUGAUGGAAGUUUGACUGAGAUUGAGUCACGAGAUGUUGAAUUCCUCGAGGAGGAUUUUCCUUAUAGAAGUGAGGUUCGAAAUGAAACUGAGUUCCAUGAGAUGGAUGACUCUGACAUUGGCGCUUCUAUUCGCUCAGUUGAGGCAGAGGAGGCGACUCCGAUACCUCCUGGGGAUAGUGGGAGCGACUUACCUUUAGAUGUGGAGCCUCAACUUCGUAGGAGCGCACGUGUAGGCAUUCCCCGUCGUCGUUUUGAGAUUGAGGGGGAAGCUUUCAUGGUUGCUGCACAUGAUGAUGAUGAGCCUAGAUCCUUCCAAGAGGCUCUCUCAUUACCUACUCAUAAGGAAUGGAUGGAUGCAAUGAUGGAGGAAAUAGAAUCGAUGAAGUCAAAUCAUGUCUGGGACUUGGUUGACUUGCCACAAGGGCGCAAAACAAUUGGGAAUAAAUGGGUUCUCAAGAUUAAGCGCAAGGCAGACGGUUCUAUCGAUAGGUACAAGGCUCGCCUAGUAGCAAAGGGUUUUACCCAACGAGAAGGCGUUGAUUACGAAGAAACUUUUUCUCCUGUUGUAAGGUUUGCUUCGAUCCGUCUGAUCUUGGCCAUUGUCACAUAUUUGGAUUUGGAUCUUUACCAAAUGGACGUUAAAACUGCAUUUCUCAAUGGAGAACUGGAUGAGGAGAUCUAUAUGGAUCAGCCUACUGGCUUCGCUGUAAAGGGUGAGGAGCAUAAAGUUUGUAAGCUCCGACGAUCCAUUUAUGGAUUGAAGCAGUCCUCCAGACAGUGGUAUAUUCGAUUUCAUCGAGCCAUCACUGAAGAUGGGUUUACGAUGAUUGAAGAAGAUCACUGUGUGUAUGUUAAACGGUCCAAAGGAUUUUUUCUUAUCCUUUCUUUAUAUGUGGAUGACAUCUUAUUGGCCGGGAAUAAUAAGGAGAUGAUUGUCGCCACUCAGACGUGGCUGUCCUCUAAUUUUGAAAUGAAGGACAUGGGUGAAGCGAAUUAUGUGCUCGGAGUUAAGAUCCUACGAGAUCGUUCAAAGAAACUUUUAGGUCUGUCUCAAGAGACUUACCUAAGAAAAGAUUUAGAACGAUUUCAGAUGCACAAUUGCAAUCCCAUUGACACUCCUAUUGUUAAAGGUGAGAGUUUGAACCUUAAACAGUGCCCUAAAACUUCUGAAGAGAAGGAUAAGCUGAACCGGAUCCUAUGUGCUAAUGCGGUCGAAAGCCUGAUGUAUGCUAUGCCGUGGGCCUGGUUAGCCGUGGGCCUGGUUAGCCUGAUGUGUACUCGGCCUGAUAUAUGCUAUGCCGUGGGCCUGGUUAGCCGUUUUCAGUCCAAUCCGGGAUUGAACCACUGGAAGGCUGUUAAAAGAAUACUUCGUUACCUUAGAGGUACGAUAAUUUAUGUGCUGUGCUAUCAAGAUAUGGAUUUACGUCUCAUCGGUUAUAGCGAUGCUGGAAUGGCUGGUGACCUAGAUGAGCGUAAGUUGACCUCAGGAUAUGUAUUCUUACUUGGCAAUGGCGCCAUAACUUGGAGUAGUAAGAAACAGAUCUGCAUAGCUCUUUCCACCAUGGAGGUGGAGUUCGUGGCGUGUUCUGCAGCAGCCCAGGAGGCUAUCUGGUUGAGAAGGUUCCUUCGAGAUAUUGGGAUUGUCGCUUGUACUUCCGUUCCUGUGACGAUCUAUUGUGACAGUAUGGCAGCGAUUGCAUACACGAAGGACCCGAAAUAUCAUGGCAAGAUAGCACAUCGACUUAAAGUAUCACUUUGUUCGUGAGGCAGUGGCGCAGAAGGAAAUAAUCCUGGAACACAUCUCUACGAGUCGUAUGGUGGCAGAUCCUUUGACUAAGCCUAUUGUUAGAGAAUCUUUUUUGGCUCAUGUUAAAGCUUUUGGACUCCGUAGGAUUUGAUUGUGUAGACGGUCGAUUAUAUUUGUAAUUUCUUGGUUAUUUAAUUACAAAUUAUUAUUUUGGCAAAGAUAUUUGGCAAAAUUAGUACACGUGCAUUGUUAUUAAACUGAUUGAUAGUAUGUCACAGGCUGAUUGGCCCUCUCGCACGGGCAAUCAUUCUUUUCGGCGCUGUAGAGAGCGAGCGAAAAUUGAGGCAUUAAUAGAAGCCGCCUUGGUUGGCACCAAGAUGAGGUCAUUAAUGAGACCGUAUACGAAUAGUCCCACGAUUCGUAUGGCCUGUAUAUUAAGAGCCGGAUGUGAGAUCACCGUUUGACGCUUGAGAUAGUGAGCAAAUGGAGAACUCAGGCUAGACACUCCGGGAGUGACUGAGCUAAGAUUCGUAUGACAUUGAGAAAGACGUAUGCUUAUUGGGAUUCUCUGUCAUAGCAUGUAUUUCAUACUACAUGUGCUGGAUGACUAAAUAGAGAAGAUGAGUGAAUGGGUCCCUGCUUCCUCAUCGUGUGAGUUCUUACGGGCAUUGUUUUGAGACGAUGUCUUAUAUAUAUAUGUUAGAUGCCCUUAGUGACUUUUGACUAUGUCAUUAAGUGAAAGAAUUGAUAUUGCUACUUUGGCAUGUUUCCUACGGCUAUGAGUGAUGCGGCUUUACGGGGCAUUGCGGGGAAAGCAAUCAGUUCUCAACUCAGUGGCAUGAGGGCUCAAGGAAGACUAGUUGAAUUACAUUCAGACACUUUGAUUCAUUGUCGAUAGAUUGUGUCGCUUCAGUAUAGCGAAACAAUCAUGAGUAUAGUGUCAUAAUGUGCGCAAUUGCGGUUAACAUGGCUCUUUGAGGGAUUAGAGAUGCUGAACCUGAUGUAAUUCAAUGGUCUAGGGCAUCACGAGUCUAAUAUUUUUUCCUUUUUGAGGGUUGAUUUCUCUAUGCUGGCUGUAUGCGGUUUCUAGUAUAGAGCUCCCAAAAUGCAGGUUGACUCGGCGGUCGCACUGUUCAUUUUCCUGUAUGAAUAUAAUUAAUAGUGGUGUGAUGUUGAGGAAGUGGUUACGAUGGCAUCGAUCCCAUUAUGUGCGAGUGGGAGAUGUUGGCAUUCGGUUAAAUCGAAUCGGGUAUGCCCAUAAGCGGGUUCGAUCCGACGGAUAUUAUGUUAUUUAAUUGGAUUGGAAUUAAUCUCGCUUUCAAAUUGGAAAGCUAGUUAGAGAUAAAUCCUAGUCAUAUUAGGAUAACAAUUAAUAACUAAUUUGGCCUUAUCUCUAACGCUAUUAGGAUUUUGGAAUCCCUUAUAAAUAUGCGGGCGAUCCUACAUAACAAAAGGUACAAGAACGGAAAAAGAAAAGAGAAUAAAAAAACGAAAGAGAGAAACCACAUCCUCUAUCAACCUAUUAUUCUAAGAGGGACUUGAAUGGUGGAUUUGUGAUCGUGCUCGUUUGUAGUUCGAUCCAUUGCAAGUUUGGAACGUGAGAAGAUUUAAUCAAGGACGAUCAAAGGACACGUGAAUCAACCUCGACGAUCCGGGCUUAUCGAGUUGUAACGCGAAUCGCUUCCGAAAAAGGUAUGAACUAAUACUUCUGCUGCGUUCUACAAUUAGGAGUUCCAUGGAUUCAAUAAUCCAAUUAAUACGUUAUUUUGAACCGAUAAAUCAAAAUUUUAGGGACUGAUAAAAGUUCGAAACAAUAUAUUAGAUUUGAUAUAGUUUACCAUUUAGAAAAAUUUAAUAACUAAUACAUGAUGUGGGCUUAUUAGAUAGGUAUGUUAGCAUUGAGUGUCAUGGUGAAUUGCUCUAUAAUAAUAAAUUUGUUAUUUGGUGUUUCCUUGGUUCAAUAAUGUUAUUAAUUUGUUAUUUUGUUGUGAAUAUCAAAAUUUUUUAUGCGUAAGUUAAAGUUUGAGGCAGUAAAUUAAACUGGUAUAAUGUAGCAUUUAAAAAAAUUUAAUUACUAAUACACAAGAUGUGGGCUUGCGAUGAAAGUCAUAUGUCCACUUGGCUAUUAAUAGUUCUGACCUUCUUGGCUACAAUUUAAGAUCAUGCAAUUGCACCUUGAAUGUAGCAUCGGAAGUCCAUUUGGUACAGGAAUAUUAAAUUUGAAGAAGAAUGAUUAUAAUCUAAAGGUUAUCAUUUGUUUCUGCUACAGCAACGGAAUCAUGCUAAAGAGCCAAUGAAGCACAUUGCGUUGAAUUUAUGUUCUUGUACAUAUCAUAUGAACAUCAGUAAAAUUUUGCUCCAUUUUCUGCAAAUCAUCAAUCUGCCAUAGUUUUAAAGUGGUGUAUGCAACCACUAUGUGGUGCUUACUGAAGCACACCGCCUAUUGUCUAGGCGGCUAAUAUGCGGUGGUCCGCAUUUGCAGCAACAUAGCCCACUUAUGCAGCAACAUAUUGUUUCCAAGCCCAUAUAUUUUGUUACUAGAUAUUGGGUUGGGUUUUAGUCAUAUUCAGUUCCAGUAUCCAUCUGAGAUCAAACACAAAGCCAUUCAAAGGGGAAAAAAAGAAGAAGAAGAAACCUUAGUCAUAACUGUUGGAAUAUACUUUUAUAAUUGGUACAUGCUAUUUGCCUAGAUAUUUAAUUUUGCUGAUUUCGUAGAUAACUAGGUAUUAUGAAUGAUGGCUUAAGUAAAAAAAACAAAAAAGUGAUACUACUGGUAAUGCAUUUUUAGUUAAUUUUUAGUGCAUCUAUUUAUUUGUAACUUUAGGGGAAACAAUUAUAUAUUCUUUGUGAUUAUAUUUGUAUCUUUCAAUGCUUUUAAUGGCUGACCUGAAUAUCUACGUGCAUACUGCAUAUGCAGUAGGCGGUUGGACUGUCUGCAUAUCGCAUAGCACAAUUUAAAACAUUUCAAUUUGUUUCUUUUCUUGACUAAUGUCUUUCUAAAUUGAGACCAUAUCUAGGUAGAUUAGGAUUUUCACUAUCUCUGUGUAGCUACUUUGAAGGUCAAUCAAGAAAAAAAUAAGCUUGUACACUUGAUGUAAAUUAAAAUCACUUUUCCAUUUUUAUUUUCAGAUUGAUGGAAAGCUACCAUAUUAUCAUACAGAACUUACAAAGUAAAUCUGCUUUCAGCCAUGAUUAUGUCAUAUAUCUUUUUUUAUUUGCAGAAAAUUGUAGAGGCUGCUGAGAAGGGUGAGCUUACUGAGCUUGUUCUAAUGGUCAUUUGGAAUCGGCGUGAUCUCGCACAACGUGAUGUAUGUGCAGCUUUCGAUGAAUUUCUUGUUUAUUGAUGAGUCCUAAAAAUGUAACUGAAAUAUUGAUAACUGAACAUUGUAAGAUAGAGUUGUCAUUUGGUUUUGCUUGGGGUCAGUCGGUCAGACUAAAUUAUUGUUGAUUGAUGGGAUAAAUUACUGAAGUUUGGGGUCAGUUUUGAUGUAAACAGUCUCUGCAUCUAGGCAAAAAAUGAGAGAAGUCUAAUAAAGCAUAUUAUAGACUAUCUGUUAAGUGAUUCUUAUGGCAGAGAGUUGAAGGUUUCUCCUCAUCAUUGUUUGCUGUGGACGUAUUUUUGGAACUUAGUACAUAUGAAGUAUAAUGAAUCUGCACUAUGCUCUAUUUCUUUGUAACAAAAUUUGUCAUCAACUUAUACUGAUAAAUAUUAAUACUCAAGUGUGCAGUUCAUAUUACUAAUUCCCUCACUAGCUGCUUGACGCACCAAUUCUUGGGCAGUCACGGAUAUACCAACUAGAAACAGAAGGAUCAACUAGACUCUGUUGAUUUGUCUUUUUUGUAAUUUUCAAUUUAGUAAUGUAUACAACACCACUGUGUGGAAUAAGUGCAUUUUGGACAACCAGCCAGAUCUUUGAUGCAUUUUUUAUUUUGCCUGUUCUGAAGUUGAGUGAAUCUCUUGAUAGUACAGGUUUGUGCAAGCAACAUUGCAAUGAUGACAUGUCUUAUUGGGAACAUAUGCAUUGUAACCAAAGAUUUAAAUGCCCAUCGGCACGGGCCGUAUCCACCGUGCUGUAUUGUGCCUGCAAGAUAUUAGCACGAUACAGUCCCCGUGCCGAUGGCACAACUCAAAACUCUCUAUUCUUGAAAUUAAUAGGUAAUUUUCUCAACAAAGUUAAAAAGAUUUGAUAAAAAUAUAUAAUAAAUAAUUGACAUAUUUUGUUGCUAAAGAAAAUAAAUAUUUCAUGCUAUUACAGGUCGGCACAUAUUUUUUUGACCGACACGCAUCGGAACAGUCCGGCACGCACCGUGCUGUACCGUGUCGACAUUUCCGAUAUGACACCGUGCCACAACACUUAAAUUCUUGAUUGUAACAAUCCGAACUGCUCGCAAUAAUAACUUGUGGGGCCCAAACUACCAGCCCAAAAUGCUUAAGCAUAGUUAUUAUUAUUAGGGUCCACGAUAUCUUAUAUAGCUAAUUACAACUCCGUUCCCAUCCGAUGUGGGACUAUUGGGGUGUCAUAUGCUUCUACUUGCGGUGUUUUCCAAUCAUGCUACUAAUUGCUUUUCCCCUUGUCUAGGAUGAAAAGGAUGUCAUCCGAAGCCUGGACCUCUUAUACCGGCGGGUUGAGGUAUCAUCUUCUAUACUUGGUUCUAUGUGUUCCCAUAUUGUAUUCCUGUCAACUAGCUUGCUUCUACGACUCUUAAAAUCCUUUUACUCAUUGUUCACCUGAUCAAAUACACUUCUAGACGGAAAUACUGAGGAGAGAAUCAACACCUUCUAUGAGAUUGCUUAAUGACCUUCUGAACCUUCAUGACGGAUUUGAUAAUGAAGGGUGGCUGAAGGACUGUAGAAAGCACAUGAUGGACAUUUUCCCCCGAGAGGAACCUUUUAGUAUGUUUCUUCCAGCUGGUUUUGACCUGGAAAGUGUAUGCUUCCUGCUAUUGAGUCAAUUCUGUUUUAACACUUAAGUUUAUAUUAUAUAUUAUAUAUAUGUUAUAGUUGAUAUAUAUAUAUAUAUAUAUAGAGUCCAGCUAUUAUACUCUUAUGAGUACGAUCGCCCUUGUACUCAUAAGUCGUUUUCGAUGAUAGAGCUUCCGAAUCGACGAUCCAUGCCGUCAAAUGUUAUCUAGAGCAUUUAAAACUUCUAGAAAUCAAAUUUUAUAAUUUUUCAAUAUCAUUUACCUUACGAUCAAAAGGUCACAAAAUUGAUAAAUUUUAAUGGCCGGUAUGGGAUACUUGCUAGUUUAACGGUGUAAAAGAAUCGGAAUCGGUUGAAUUUUUAAUAAAAAAUUCUAUUCACUACCUAGAUAAAGAUCAAUAACUCCGAUCUUAAAUUGAAGGAUCUAAUCAUCCAUUUUUAGGAGGUCGUUCGAUUUCGACUGUUCAUUUUAUGCCCGCUUGAUGAACUUUAUUAUGAUUUUGAAAAAUUACGAAAUUUAUUUUCUAGGAAGUUUCUCUAAAUCAUUUUUAACGGAGUGGAUCGUCGAUUCAGAAGCUCCAUCAUCGAAAACAACUUAUGAGUACGAAGGGCUCUAUACUCAUAAUAGUAUAGUAGCCCUACUCUCUCUCUCUCUCUCUCUCUCUCUCUCUCUCUCUCUCUCUCUAUAUAUAUAUAUAUAUAUAUAUAUAUAUAUAUAUAUUGGUGACAGUUUUAUAGGUGAUAGAUGACAGACAUUGUAAUGUUUUAUUACAUGCAUAUACAUCUACAGUAGUUUAUUUGAUAUCAAAUUAUUCAGACUGCGUUUACACUUUUAUGAUCAAAUGAAAACUCAACUAUAGACUACCUAAGUGACUCAAAAUUAAUCAUAAUGAUGUUAGAUGUUUUGAAUAACUAGUAGAAUUUAUUGAUUUAUUUGGCUUUUUGAUUUGCUUCAUUAGAGUAAAUAAUUAAAGAAUUUCAUAUCUUAAUCAACGCUUCGUGACCUCCUACGAUGUACAAGUACCAAAUUUUCAUGUUUUGACUGGUGUAAUGUGAGUUCGUCAUGAUGAUCAGCAUGUACUUUGAAUUUCAGUGACCCACCGUAUAUUUUUGUAGUGCGUUGACCUUUUGUAGAUUAGCAAAGUUCUAGUGAGAAAUAGUAUUUGAUACUAUUUAAGAGGUAUUGGUGAUGUGUUGGAUUGGUUUUGACGCGAUAAUGAUGCGAAAAUGUAGUUUCGAACCUACAAAGUGGCAGUUUUGAUGCACGUACCAAAUACUGAAGUUUGGGGUACCAUUACUCAAUGGAAAGUUUAGCUGGGAGACAUUGGGGUACGGCGGUGGAGUACUAGUAUUGAUGGUCAGGUAUAGGUACCUGAUAUUUUACCGAGACCCGCAGAGCUGUGAACUUGUGGAAACUAAACUCUCGGGUUCUGCGGAACUUCUGCAGGGUAUCAAUACUGAGGGUGAGUACCAGUACUGGCUGUGGGAAAUCAGAACCCGAUAGUAAAUCACUGUGGGAAAUUGUUCAGGGUCUGGUACUCGGUGGAUUAUCGGUACUGAAUUAGAUGCACCAAUACUUACCUGUAUGCGGGCUGAUUUUGUGUUGGACACUGAAUUAGAGGUACCAAUUUAAAAACACCUGCAAAAAAUUUGUUCAGAGGGCCGUGAAAUUGGAUUAUUAGGAAAU
rnacentral:lncRNA from 1 species